ACCACUUGACGCUUCGUUUAUUUAUUAAAUUUUAUUUUUAAUUUUUAUUUCUGUCAACGAUAUUUGCUUCAUGAUAAUUCAUUUUGAGUAAUUUACAAUUUGAUUACUUACAAAUUGUUGUUAUAUUAUGUACGCAGCUAUGGGGAGAUAUGCGUGUAACGACGUUCAUCUAAACGUUUACACGAGACCCGUAAAGCUGUCAAUGCAAUUACUCUCUGUAUUUGGCGGAACAACAAGGAUGUGGUCUGUUAAAGUCUGAGGCCAGGAUGAAUAAAAACGUUGCUAGCAACAAUUAAUCAGUUUGAACGGUUCACUGUUCAAAAGAGGGUCAGAAGUUUAGAAAACGCAAAGAGCACUUUCCACCCAUCUUUAUUUUCAAAGCCCGUGUCGCGGCACGUUGAAAACACUUAACUGGGAAGUUAACUUGGUUUAAGCGGCUUAUUCAUCAGAGUCGAGAUGUUCCGAUUACCAUUUGUUUGAAUCAAUCAGAGUUAGUCACCUGUUGGUUCGUACAAAGAGAUAAAAAAAUGAAUCUGAUGAAUGAUUCGCGGCAAUAGGAGAUGAUUUUUGGAAGCGUGGCAUCCGCAAAUUGUCAGCCAGAAUGGAAAAAUGUAUAGCUAGCAAUGGGUAAUAUUUUGCAUGAAAUAUUUUUUAUCAUUUUCAUAUAAUAAACGGGUAUUUUUUUUAGUAAUGGCAUAUGUCCAUGAUUUGCAAACGAAUAAAAAUUUUUUAGUAAAAUUGCAAACUAUGACCUGUUGUGGGCUACUUUCGAUAUGUACAUGUCUGGCUGUUUCAAAUCGAAUAGCAAAUUGAGUACCUUAAACAUCCUUUAGUUGUGCCUACGUGAAUAAUUUACAUAAAAAUUAAUACAUAAGCGUAUACGCAAUUGUGUAUAAUUUAACACAUUUCGUACACAGAAAACUCGAUGAGUGUCAACGCAAUACGUAAAUUUGUUAAACGUUAGAUUUAUGUGAAUAGGUAAGUACGUGUAUGUUCUUUAUUUUCAGUACCUUUCAACAUAUGUGUAAACAUAUAUAUAUAUAUAUACAUAUGUACAUAUUAUACACAAGAGCAUACAUAUCAACCAGCUACGGAAGCGUCAAGUGGUUGUGUCGACUCGUCUCUAUUGUUACUGCUUACAUGCAGUCGUCAACAACUGUGCAACUGUGUAUGGCUUCAUUGCCAAACUCCCUGUCAACGAAAAAAAAAAAAAAGGUGAAACUUACUCUCUAAGAGAGACCCUCGACGCAACCUUAUCACAGUCACCAGUUUUCUGCGCGCCCUACCAACGUCGAGCCAUCAUCACCUAUUCAUACGUUUUCUGCUGCUUGGCUUUUAUGUCUGACUGUCUCCGUCUGAAGUAGCAAGUGGCAUGCGGUAUGCUUAACUCAGGCUCAGUAGCAUUGCCAAGUGUAGUAACUGUGUUUCAUUUCAUUUUUUUUUUGCAAUUUUUCUAGCUUUGACAUUUCUUCUACACCCUCUCAAAAAAAGGGGGGGAAAAAAAAAUACAAGAAAAAAAGAAGAAACGAAAAAAAGCAUUGAGUACGUUUUCGUUUAUUUUGUGCUUUGUACUUAUGCUGUGUUACAAAAUGUUUUGGAGGACAUUAACCCGAUUGAAAACUCACGAGCGCACAUUCACAUAUAUGUAGAAAUGAAAGAAGACACGUCCGUACACACAUAUAAUAAUUCAGCUGCAAAUAAUUCUGUGAAAGUGUGCGGAAAACAUUAGAAUUUUUACGUUCGUACCAUAAAGUGUAUGCAUAUGUUUGAGCGUUUAUGUAAGUUGUCCCCCUCUCUUACACUUUCCUCUAUUCCCAUUGCUUUGUUGUCGGCAUGUAGAUACUUUUUAAAUACCCUUUAAGCUCUAUGGGGGAUAUUUUUAUACAGAUAUGUAUAUAUAUCGCUUA